rnacentral:lncRNA from 1 species
GAGAGUCAGCUGUGAAGACAGCUCCUAUCUCAGCGCUGGGCACUGACCACUAAGCUUCUCUUCUGUGGGAAAGGGGAUGGAUACUCACGGCUUUCAUGGCUGGCAUCAGGAAGACUUUCACCUCCUUAGGGGGAAGGCUGACCUCUGUUUUCCGUUUUAAAAGGAUCAAGAGAAGAGUCACUGGUCCUAACAACCACACCGACUGCUCUUCCGGCCCUGUCCCCUGGAUGGGGAACUACACCGGUAGAAACACCAUCUGCCACCUCUUCCCAGCUCCAGACCCCACCAAUGGCUGCCCCGGAGGAGCUCCCUCAACAUUUUGUGCACCAGCCUACUAAAGAAUCCACCAAGGCAAAUCCAUAGUUGUGUCCUCUGUGCAAUGUUCCCCAGC